rnacentral:piRNA from 1 species
UGGUGACGUAAUUGUGCAUGCGCGGCCCA